rnacentral:rRNA from 1 species
UCGGGAAUUUUGGGCAAUGGGGGAAACCCUGACCCAGCAACGCCGCGUGAAGGAUGAAGUAUUUCGGUAUGUAAACUUCGAAAGAAUAGGAAGAAUAAAUGACGGUACUAUUUAUAAGGUCCGGCUAACUACGUGCCAGCAGCCGCGGUAAUACGUAGGGACCAAGCGUUGUUCGGAUUUACUGGGCGUAAAGGGCGCGUAGGCGGCAUGACAAGUCACUUGUGAAAUCUCUGGGCUUAACCCAGAACGGCCAAGCGAUACUGUCGCGCUAGAGUGCAGAAGGGGCAAUCGGAAUUCUUGGUGUAGCGGUGAAAUGCGUAGAUAUCAAGAGGAACACCUGAGGUGAAGACGGGUUGCUGGGCUGACACUGACGCUGAGGCGCGAAAGCCAGGGGAGCAAACGGGAUUAGAUACCCCUGUAGUCCCUGAGCGGGCUGGCAAGGCGCAU